UAUCCUGUGAUGCAGUGGGUUAGUAUGUCUGGCUGCUAACCAGAAGAUUGGUGGCUCGAGCCCACCCAGGGAUAG